rnacentral:rRNA from 1 species
CACGUAGGAGGCGAGCGUUGUCCGGAAUCAUUGGGCGUAAAGAGCGCGCAGGCGGCUUGGCAAGUCGGGUGUGAAACCUCCAGGCUCAACCUGGAGACGCCACUUGAUACUGCUAUGGCUAGAGUUCGGCAGGGGACCACGGAAUUCCUGGUGUAGCGGUGAAAUGCGCAGAUAUCAGGAGGAACACCGAUGGCGAAGGCAGUGGUCUGGGCCGAUACUGACGCUGAGGAGCGAAAGCGUGGGAGCGAACAGG